AACUUUCAACAACGGAUCUCUUGGUUCUGGCAUCGAUGAAGAACGCAGCGAAAUGCGAUAAGUAGCGUGAAUUGCAGAAUUCAGUGAAUCAUCGAAUCUUUGAACGCACAUUGCGCCCCUUGGUAUCCCGAGGGGCAUGCCUGUUCGAGCGUCAUUU
rnacentral:rRNA from 1 species